UACGUAGGGCGCGAGCGUUGUCCGGAUUUAUUGGGCGUAAAGAGCUCGUAGGCGGCUUGUCGCGUCGUUCGUGAAAACCCGGGGCUCAACUCCGGGCUUGCGGGCGAUACGGGCAGGCUAGAGUUCGGUAGGGGAGACUGGAAUUCCUGGUGUAGCGGUGAAAUGCGCAGGUAUCAGGAGGAACACCGGUGGCGAAGGCGGGUCUCUGGGCCGAUACUGACGCUGAGGAGCGAAAGCGUGGGGAGCGAACAGG
rnacentral:rRNA from 1 species